UACAUUACUGACAUGAUAUAAUUUUCAAUAACUUUUAAUGUAUAAAUUAUUUAGUUGCUUAUAAUUUUUUAGUAAGAUUAGUCUAUGUACGUGUAUGUACUAUAAAACUAUAGUUUUUAGUACAUUAUAACUUAUAUAUAACUUACAUGGCACAAACGUUUUUUUCUGCAACAUUAAAUCAUCCCCUAUAUAUUUUAACCCCUUUGAAAGGGGUACCAGUCACCCCUUUAAUUCCUAAAAAAGGGGUGACUGAUGAAAAAGGGUGUUGCAGCUGGAAAGAUAUUGACUAUGUGUUUCUAAUAGUUUUGAUUUAUUUAAAUGCUUUUUUUAAUGAUUAAUUUCAUUGUAAUGUGACAUAGAUAUGUAAAAAUAUAUAAGUAUAUUUUCAUUAAAAGGAUGAAGGUUUCAUGAAAGAAAUAAGUAUAUAAAAUAUUAGAAUGUAUUAUGAAUUUGACAAUUCUUUCUCUUAUAUUCAGUUAGAAUUCACAAGACACACCCUUUUAGCUUUGGGAUUUGGAGUAUUGUAACGGAGCAUGCUCCAUCUUCUUAACGUUUCAGUCUGCUUUUUAGAAUCCAUCUACCCUUUCCAAUGUUGUCGAUGGUAGAUACGGUCCCUUCUUUUUUUCCCACUUGGAAUCAGUAGGACACACCCCUUUUAGCAUGGGAUUUAGAAUAUUCCAAUGGAGCAUGCUCCGUCUGUAAACCACCACAGCCUGUAUUGUAAAAGCAGUUCUCCCUUUCUAUCAUUUGUGAUAGAGAACCUACUCCGAGGGAUUGGUUGGAAAUUCCCUAUGAUUGGUCAGGGAUGCUCUGGGAGGUGUUGAGUAUAUCCUGGCAUAACUGUUCUCCGUAGCAAGUGCAGAAGGAAAGAUCAGUUUAGCUGAGACUAGCGUUGAGUUCACUUCAUGUUGUGUUGUUUAACUACUGGUUUAAGAAUUAAGGAAAUUAUCUGUUAUAAUGUGUUGCAUUUAUAAACAUAAUAACAGGUUCAUAGAUGCGGAGGAUUUCAAGGAUCAACUAGGCGUUAGGUGAUUUCGUAUAAAAAACCAGGGAGCCAUGGUCACCUCGAUUAAUUCUUUAUCGAUUCGAUGCGGCGCGAGGAGAGGCACAGCAAAAACCUCUUCACCAUGGGGAUGCAAACGACCAGAUGGAUGAUCGACGAAGAAAUCGACGGUUUUUGUUACGAAUCGAACCUUUUCGUAGCGACAUGCCGAGUAAUUUGAAAGAAAAGUGCAAUGACGGAUUUCGAAUUUGCAUUUAUUCAUGGAUCGAGUUCCACUGGACGUUUCCAGGGAUCGAUGGAUGCAGAAUCGAGUCGAAGAAUGCUGCGGAGUAAGAAGAAGAGGAGCAACGGAACGCGGAAAAUAGGUGGGACGAGCGGAGAAACAAAUCGUAAUGACCGAGGCUACGGAGAAGGGUACAGUUACGGGGAAAUAUUCCCACGACGAGCGGAGACUCGUUCGACUUCUCAACCGUGUUCGAUCUAAUUUCUGAUCGAUACGGAUUCAGAGAUUCGACGACCAUUUUGCGAAGACGUGAUACCCGGAGAACACAUGUAGAUGCUGUGAAACGUGUCCCACGCGUUCAGCGUUGGAUUUGAUACGAGGAACGGACCAGGAAGAAGAGAUAAUUCAAUUAACAUCGAGGAACGGAUUUUAAAGAGGACAAUGUCUAAAUCGCCACUAUUGUCGCAUUUCCUGUAAGAUUAUGACCCGAACGGUCUUACAAGAAUCUGUUUACGCGACGAUCACACAAAUAGCCACCGAUUCUCACCGAUUACGACACCAUGAAGCAGUCAGUAACUGCAUCCGGAAGUCGGUGAUGGUGGAAGAAUAAUACAGCGAACCAAUAUUCGAAGAACCAUCGUUACAACUACAAUUCCAGAAAAUGUUACGAGAUGAACAAUUUUCAGUGGAAAAAUGUCGCUGUAGGAGAAAAGGUAACGUUCCAUAUACUCUGGAUAUCAUCAUGAAGGGAACAUUAAUCAAUUCACGAGGAAUAAUGGAAUUGGAAUGAUUGCGUGGGCGAUAUUAGGUGUCCACCAUUAGAGAAGGAACGUUUACAUUUGCCGAGUAGUAAGCAGUAAUAAAUAUUUGUCGUCUGACUGUCGAUCGGGACCAGUAUGCGACACAUGGCCUCACGUCUACUGUCGUUCCAGCUGUAAGUGCUCUCUCGCACGUUACACCGCCAUACCUUGCAUUCAUCGUUUCAGGAUUGUACCAGGUAUUAAACAUGGACACGGUGGUGCCUUGAAUCGUAAUGAAAUAUCUCGGUGUCCCAGAAACAUGAAUCAGGACACUGUAUGCAUUAGACGUCCAAGUUAGUAGCCAUGCAAUCUACACUUUUUCUCUUCACCUUCGGUAUUUAUACUUCCAUCCAUAAAUCAUGAAACGCUUGCUAAUUUUAUAAACGUAAUAAGUUUCAACUUCAUUCUGCGAUUUUAAUAUUUGCAUAUCUCCAUCUUAACUGACUGUGUGUUUCGUUACUUAUGGACGGAGUACAGUGACUUACGAAGGUAUUUGAAAUUUCAUUAUCACUGUAAGGAGACACGACUGUCAUGACUAUAUUGGCCAAGUUUAAGAGCCAUCUGAAACUGUGUCACGGAAAGCGUAACCAACCGUCGAAUCGAUUUCAAGCGUUCUACGACAAAAGGACCAAUUUAGAGCGAUUCCGUGGAUCUAUCGGACCACCGCGUUGAGCAACUCUCACGGCUCCAUCGCGUGGAACAAGAAGCCGGAAAGUCGCGGAGCUAGGCGGCCGUCAUUGAUCUCCUGUUAGAAUCGAAUCACUUCGAUGUAACAAGAUAAAUAGUCAGCGGGAAACCUUGGAUCCGAGGGCGCGGAUCGCGUAGUCAUGCUGACUGUUCGAUAUCUGUCGGUUGCUGGCGCGAGUUCCUCCGACGCGACUAGGAAGGCGGUUCAACGCGUGAGCGCGAGGUAUCGAAGCUGCGACUGUGUAUACCGGACAACUUGACAGCACAUGGCUGCCAAUUUUCUCUGCACGCCGAGAGGAAACGCGUGACACUGCUUCAGAGCACCUCGUAGACGCGAGUUUGACACGAGCUUUGGAAAACUACCAUACUCUUUAUGUAGCUUUCAUGGGAUGGCCCAUGAUCGUAGAAUCGUUGGCUCUUCUUUGGAAUGUGAUCUUUUAAAGUUUCGCAAUAUCUUUUUUACGUUGUUCAUAUAAAGGUUUCGCACAGGUUUCCGUAUGAUUUUUCUCGCCUUUUACUUGUUCAGGUUAUUUGUUCUAUUUGUUACGAUUUGUAAAAGUAUUUGUUAUAUCUCGUAUUUUCGAAAGAUUGUAAUUUUUACAUCGUAUGUAUAUAGAUUUUAUAACUUAGGGUUCGUAAUCGAUUAAUCGAAAAUUCUUUCGAAAUUUUUAAUCAGGUUGAAAAUCUCAGACCAAAAGAUGAGAAGUCCUUUCCGAUCUUUCCUCUUUACGUUUCUUCAUGGUUUUACGUAACUUGAGGCAGUCAGGUACGGAGUUAGGUUUCCCCCGGUGAGUAUCCGGGUUUAAUGCUUCCGUUCCGGCGUGGAUAUUCCAAGUUUUCGAUCAGCACGAGCUGAUCGGCUUUUUGCCGCGACUGCUUUUUGCGCGAUCAUCGUCACCUUCGUCACGGCCACGCCCGGGCACGUGAGGCCAUGAACACGGUGUUACAGGUGUUUGCCCAUCCUCAGGCCUCGAAUUCUUUUAUGCCCUUUCGGCUCUCGGUCUAUUAACGCUUGCAGCCUAGCAGCACAACUUUUCCCAACGCCAACGGGUGACUCAUGUUUUAUUUAAUUCCCCUCUCGCCGCGCAAAUUCCUCGUCGUCGUUUCACUUCGUUCUUUCUUUACUUCCCCAGGACUUUGGCUGCCUCCGUCUAGCAGCUCUUCUUACGCUUCCUGCUUUUUCUCCAUCAACCUCAUUGUUGUGUGCUGUUUUUUUUUCCUUUCUUUUUGGAUCCGUCUUAGUUCGUUUUGGUCCGCGGCGUCGUCAAAAGUCUGCCAGGCGCUCUUCUGAUUCGUGAGUUCGCUCGCUGUUUUUAGUGGCAACGAUCCUGUCACGAUUUUAAACGCAACAAUGGUGGAAGGAAUGCUUUGAGUAUUGUUUCGUCAAGCAGAAAUCUCGCAGUUUCGUAGACCGAUGUUUUGCGAAAUUUUACGCGAUAGACGAUUGCACGAACGCGGUGCAGGGAGUCAUUAAACUUCUAUUUUCUUCCCAAACAUCUUUAUUAACUAAGAGUCUCUGAGAACUUUCUUCUUUCAAUUAUUUUAGCUUAACAACCUCAGGGAGAGGCGAGUUCAUUAAGGAAGAUAAUUAUGGUUCUAUCUUUCUAAAACGAAUAAUGCAAAUAUCGUGUGGUCAUUAGGAGUUAAAAGUAGGAUUUCACGAUAAUAUGUAUCUUUCUCUUUUUGCAAUCAUGCUUGAAUUACACUACAAUUUCGCGCCUAUUCUUAAAAAGAGCAGAUCUUUCGUGUCAAAUAGCGACACAUUUUCUUCGAACUAAAAAAAUUUGUUACAAACAGAAAGAAUACAUUAUAAUAUUGCACGUGGUGUACAUACGAUGCGUUUCACGUAUCUUCUUGCAUUCAGAAAACAACAAUCACGAAAACGAUGAAAAUGACGACGACGACGACGACGUCGACGCACGACGGGAUUCUAGUUGAUAAAAAGUGGCUAGUAAAACAAGCGAAGUGUGAUCGGUUAUGUCAAAAGGGUGUGGGGACAGGGUCGAUCGAAGGGGUGGUCAAUGGGGAUUGGUGAGCAGCUCGUCUGCUCGGUGAACCGUGGAUUAAGAUAAACCCUUCAUCGGUUUCUUGUCGAACGAUUCUUCCUCCUGUACGUUUCUGCGCCGCGAAUGGUCGAAGAUAGGCGCUGGCUUAAAGUACUUCCCGUCAUUCCGCUGGAAAUUAUUUAACGUCCGGUAUCGUGGCGUCAUCGUUCACCACUCGAAAACGUCCGGUAAAAGUGGCCAAACAGUCUGGCUAUUCGAUGAAAUUAAAUAUAUACGCGAUUAUUAUCCACUUUCUACGUUUGAAAAUUUAUCUAAUUUCUCCUCGCCGCUCGUCACGCCUUAAUUUCAUUACGAAUUUCACCGCGACUCGUAGAAACGAAAUUUUCUCGAACAGAUAAACUCCCGGCGAUUAUUCAGGUUAACCGAAGAUAUCUUUAAAAAGAUAUCGAAGUUGAUCGCCGUAGAGAUGAAUUGCCGGAUAUCUGUUUGGAGAUAUAAUUGCUUGCAGGAUUAAAAUAUCUGCAUAGCGAAUUUCUGUAAUUGGAUUUUUUGCAAACAGGAACCAUAAUGGCGGUACCAUAAUGACGCCUACAACUUUCAAGCAAUCAAUCCUAUUAUCAUUGAAACAUAUCGUGUAUUCUAAUUCCACAAGUUGUAAAAAAUAAAACAGGCAAGGCAAAAACAUCGAUGAAAAUUCAAAUUCUACGAACUACAUAGUUCUUGAGGGAUUUUCGAAUCCCAAGGAUGCCUUCCUGGCACGUACCAAAUUCCAAGGUCUUUAAUCUUCUCUCCAUUCAUGCAAAUUCGGCGUAACGCGAGAGGAACGUGGCGGGCCAGCGCCUCGGGCGAGAUUCUCUCGUUGCGGGAACGCGGAUAGAAAAAAUAAUGUGGGACAGCGGACGCGUUCCAGUAUGCGGUUCUGUGCGACCUCGCGCGUUUAUGCGCGGCGCGGCGCGGCGCAAUGGGAACGGCCCGAAGGAACCGGCGCUGAACGGUCGCCGCGAGACAAUGAGAAACCAAUCCGCGUGCUCACCGCCUUACGAGAGGAUGAAAGAAUGCCACGGAACCGGCCGUAAAUCCACCUCCCUCGAGUGCGUUCGCCGGCGUGAAAUUAAGAGAGCAAUGGCGAGGAGAGACGAGCCACCGACGCAGCUUCUGCCGUCGAUAUCCAGGCAACUUCUUUUAUGGAAGUAGAAGAUUCUUCGUUUUAUAUUUAGGGAGAACGUUUCUGGAACUUUGCGAACGUUGAUUUCUGAUUAGGAAGGAGAACGCGAGGAUCAUUAUCGUGAAUAUUGCUCGAGAAGUAGCAGGAAAUUUAAGACAAAUUUAAAGACUGUGUCGUAAGUUUUUUUUUUUUAUGUAGAAAAUAUAUUUGAUACGAAAUUACGGACUUUAAUCAUCAAUUUCGAAAAUUUAGAUUUACGAUUAAUAAAGCAGGACGCGGGAAUUUAUUAAGUUGAUUCAACAGAGAUUUAAUUCCGCCACAAUCAUCGAGAUUUGACAUUAAAAAAAAAAGAGAUGUAAAAAUCGUUUUGCAGGCUUCUCUUUUACCAAGCUUCUCCUUACAAGUUUCUUUUAUCAAUGUUUAACAUGAAGUUAUCUGUAAUUCUUCCUAGUAACAACGUGUAACUGCUGUUCAAAGCCAUGUAACGCUUGUUUAUGGUAAUCUGCGUUACUAUCGGUGUUUUAUAGGAUAAUCAGAACAAUUUCAUCUUUGUAAUAACAGAAGGAAAAUGUUUUUUCGCAUCGCACGAUCGCGGAUAAUUUAAACGAGAUCAUCUAACGUUGCCACGCGAAUUCACGAUAGCGCGGAACAUCUUUUACGCGGCUUCUCGCGGCGUUGCGCAGCGUCGACUAAUAAUUUUCCCUUUAAACAUUACAAUUACUAAUUACUCCGCGAUUUCCGCCGAUCUCGAUGCUAUCGCUGGUAUUACUUCUCCUUCCCGCGGGGAUAACAAACCUUUCCAGCCCUCACCGAUUAACUUUGUUUGCUAUUCGAUAACUUGCAAUCGUAGUUUGCAUUUACACCCCCUUGCUUUUGAAAUUUUUAUCCGAAUUCUGUUUUCUGACGUAGGCGCGUGAAAGUGGAGGCAGCGAAGGGUUAUUUUGUUGUAUCUCUUUAACAGGCGAAAUUUCGUAUACGUUUCACAUCCGUUUGAAACUAGAUUCGUGAUCUUAAAUACGUACAGAAGACACUGAAAGAUCUCAUCUCCACCUAAGAUUCACAGAAUUAAUGGACGCCGCAGAGGAAAUUUCGCGCAUUAUGCUUCGCAUUCGAAGCUUCAAAACAAAAUUUACGAUCUUUAAGAGCUACAGAAGAUACAGAAAUCUUACACACAUUGACGUUCACCUAAUUUCUUCACAAGAAGCUCCCCUACCCAAGAUUCUUCAACCCAUAAAGUUAGCGGACGAUGCAGAGGAAAUGUGGCACAUUAUUUCCCUUCGUUUAUACCUCUAAAACGAAACUCAUGGUCUUUAAAACUAUCGCAACUACCGAAAGCUUAUACGUACCGACCAUUUACUUAGUUUCUCCACGCAGACUCACGCUAAUCCCGACAUCCGAUCUUUACCUCCACCCUAUCUACGAUCAGUCCACAUUUCUACCAUACACGAGAACUCAUAAUUCCCGGUAUAACGUUCACUUCCUCGAGACACACAUCCUCGCGUCGACCAGUAAGGGUAGUACAGAUGAAGCAAAAAAGCCUGGUGCAUCGGUCGGGCAGUUGGAGACGGCUGCUGGCUCGGGUUAUACGUGUUUGGCGGCGGAAACAGCGGCAUGAUAGCCCGUUUAACCCGUCUCCAACCCCCGUGGUGCAACUUGUUUUCCCUCGUGUUCGCCUUUUCUUUUUGGCAAAGCUUCAACCCUCGUGGAGGGCAGAAGGAAACUGUGAUCGAAGGGAGCGCGACGUUACGGAUGGGUUUGUCGGCGUGGUUCGGGUUUUCUGCUCGCUUAAGAAACGACGUGUUUACCGGCCAUCGAAGGAAGCCCAUAACCUGUCCGACUGGCUGCCACCGCUUCGACAGAUAUACUACGAAGUCACCACGAAGCACGCACCACCACCACCGCCGGCAUCGUCGUCGCCGUCGUCGUCGUCGUCGUCCACCAGCCAGAAUGACGUUGGUGACACCGACGCCACCAUGGACGAUGGAAAAACUGUUGGUCGAUCGAUGGAUCCGUCAAACGGAUUUCGAGGCUGAGAUUAUUUAUGGGCUCGAUUGACGAGUGCAGAGUCGCGCGAUUCCUUUUGGGACCGCGCGUUAAACUCGAGGUAUGCGCGCAGCUUUUUCUUCGGUUCUUGAUGAGAAAGGCGGAGAACGGAAGCGGCAAGCUUCGAUUAGUUUUGCGGUAUUAUACGUGGUCAUUUUGGUGGUUUUGGAAAGGUGUUUCUUUAGGAAUAUUUCGUACGUGUGUUCGUAACCACUUUCAGGCUUUUUGAUGAGAUAUAACAUUCAUACUAACGUGCUCGUAUGCUGCAUCCUAUUACAGAUAUAAUCUUCCAGUAGAUUUUAGUACUUUCUAACGAGAUCUUCCAGCUAUAAGUAUACUACUUUCUUAUAUUAUUGUUUUCCUCAAACAAUCGAAAUAACGCGAAAUAUUCGGAUCUUCGCAUUACUCGAGAAUUACUAAAUUAACAAUAAUAAAUACAAGGUUCGUUACAGAUACAAUCUUGCGGUACAUUCUAAUAUCUUUUAAGAACAUUUCUAUCUUCUCUAUCUCGAAACACUCGUUACACGAACUUUCCAAGGAAACCAUCCUUCUCUUCUCAACAAAUACACCUAUACGUACUAAAUAAUUCCACCUUUCACGCAACAAUUAAAUCUCGCCAUCGAGAGGAGCAACCUUGACGCUACAGACCAAGAAGAUGCCGGAUCUAUGGCGGGGCAAAAGAAACGCGCGGUUUCCACGUACCGAUCACGAUCGAUCGAUCGAUUGAUAUUCAACGUGCAUGUUAAUGGGCAAUUAAUAGUCGCGCGGCACUCGUAUCGUCGCAUACGCGGCGUGCCGGCGGCGGGGGCCAGGGAUGCUCUUUUCAAGCUAGACGGUUUUGUAAUCUCGGUGUCUCUCCCGGCGUCUCCCGGCGUCUCAUUCGUAUGCGGUCGACGUGGCCGCGAACGAGCUUAUAAGUAACGCAGUAAUGACACAGGCUGUCAUGGCGCGGAACAGUUUUCUCGGCUCCCAUUGUCGUUAAGCGGCUGGCCAGAGCUGAUUUAUCGGCGCCGCUAGGGAAAUUCCGCGCGCGGAUCUCUCGCCGGAUGCCUGGCUGCCUGUUCCACGUAUAUCUGCCUACGUGCAUUAACGUUGUUUUUCAUCGAACGGGAUCUAGCUGAAGGAUCUAAGCAUCAGAGGUUCGCAAGCGUUGCACAGAAUUUAGAAAAGGAGCUUCGAACAGGGUGAUUUUCGAAGAAUUCUUCGUCGAGGAUUUUAAGAGACGAAAUUGGUAGAUUCGCGAUGCUCGUUGAGCGCGUACGUGGAUUUUCGUUCAAAGGGUCGUUCAGUUGACGCUUUUACCUAUAAAAUAAUCGAAUUAGGAAUAUUAUUGGAGGUUUUGGAGAAGUUCUUGAGAGUUUCACGAGAAAAGUUUGGGAGAGAGCUUCGCUGACCUCUUACGCUUAGGAAGAUAACCGAGAUUAAAUUUUUGUACAGAUAAUUGAAUUAGGAAUAUCAUCAAAGGUUCCGGAGGGGGUGGGUUUUGAAGAUUUCGUGGUUGAGAAUUUUGAGGAUCUUGAGACGAAAGAUAGCAAGAACGAAGAAUGGUUGGACAGAUGUUCAUGAAUCCAAACUUCGGAGGAACAACAUUUCGACGAAGCAUCGAUCGAAUAACACCAGAGUAGAACAAAUCAUUCUGAUGCAACUUCUGCAUCGAACAUACGCUCUGUCAGUUAUUAAUAUAUUUCUAAUUGAUCUAUAAAUUAAAAGAAAAAAAAUGUAAAGUGGCUAAAAAGAGGAAAAAUCAUAGAACAGUAAAAUUACGGAAUUCUAUUCUUCAUAAGGAAAAAGGAACGAUUUUUUCAAUGUAACUCAUGUUCGAUAAACGUAUCCACCGUUUCGCGGCAACUGUUUUUACAUCGAGAACAGUCUGAAACAGGAAGGGAUAAAUAUUCCCGACAAAUUAUCGUUCUAGAUAUUACCAGAGAGAUAAUCGGCGAGAUAAGGACGCGUGCCUACAAAACUGUCCGAAGUGUAAAACCGAGAAACGAUACGACGUCCAAUUAAAACUGCUCCCAACGCGCAGCCUGUUUCAAUUCUUUUCUUUCUUUCCUCUCACCUCCGCUCAUGUAUUCUCUCUGUUCUUCGAUACUAAAACGGCACCGCUCAUCUGGCAUCGUUAAUUAAUCACGAAUAUUUAUUGCGUACUCACAUGCUCAUCCGCCUCGGUCUAUCUCGGGAGGCAAUUAGCGAAAUUAUUGCAUGAAAAGGAGAGAAAAAAUAUGUGCGAUUCCUCGCGAGCGCGAUUCACUGGCCCGUGUUCCACGGCCGUCGUCUCGCUGAAAGCACACUCCAGACAUCGACCGAUCGUAUCCUCGCAAUAAUUAGUUCAUUAAUGCCACAUUCGUUCCUCCUAUUCAAUUUCCCGAUUAUCCGCUUGAGGUAGAGCUUCUAACUCCGCCAUUCUUUCCAAUCGUCGCGUACCAAGCUUCGUUUACAUCGAAUUAGUUAUACCGUUCCUCUAUGGUAUUCCUGCGUUUCCUUCUCCCUUUGUAUCGUUUCCUUAAUUCCAAUCGUGAAUUAUAAUUUUCUGUAAUCUUUUUUAAGAUAUCUAGGUAUUUUCUAAUUAAGAAAUUUGCAGAGUAAAAGGAAAAUUUUCGAAACAUCAAAUAUCAUCGAGCAUACGUCGUUCUCAUCUUCGCAAUUGUGCAAUUUACUCCAUCUUAUAAAUUCCAACGUUCCGCCGCUGUGGAAUUUCAAUCGUCGUCAAAUCUCCUGUAAUUUCUAUAGAUCCAAAUUUUUACCAAACCAUCGUCAAAUUUUUUCCAACAUCUUCGAGUAUUUCAGAGUGAUUUAUAUUUAUCUAAUUUUAUCUGCAUAUUUGUCUGUUCCCUCCUAAUCUAUCCAUCCCAAUUCUAGAAUACCUAAAACCUCAUCCGGAAUGUUUCAAUUGGAGCAGAGUUUAGAGAAUAGGAGGGCAAAUAUCGAAUACAAAAUCCUUUGGAAGACGCAACCCUUCGUCUUCGAUAGGAAAGAUUCACGCUUGAUCGUGGCUUUCGCGAGGAUCGGUAGGGCUGUCGCGAGCGGAAUCGUUCUUCAUCGAAGUUUCGAGGUCACUAGACAGAGGCAGACCAAUAGCGCGACAGACGGACAGACAGCAGGGCAAGUACACCGAUAACGACAAACUGGCCCGAGAAAAACGUCGCUGAAGCGAUAAAUCAGGCCUAUUGCAUUCCUAAGAUAGCGCGUUGUCUGAAAGUCAUUACGCUGGCAAAAGUAAUUCCCAACUAAGUAAGUAAAGCAAUAAAUACAUAAUGCAUCCGGCGAGUUUCCCACACGCGUACUCGCUCGCUUAAGCGCGAGAGUGCGCGCGCGAGCGCACAGGCGGGCGACCGCGUUGCAGUCCCUCAUCGCGAUUCCAUGAAAUCAUGCAUCAGCGGGGACCACGCUGUGUGUCGCGGAUUUAUUUGCCACGCCACGCCGGAUCGCGACGCGAUUUCUUUUUCGCAAUCGCGCGCUCGAUCGUCGAUCGACCAAAGAAAAGAAAAAAAAAGAACGAAACGAACGCUGCCUGAUCGAUGGAAUCGGGAGGGUGAGGUCGGAGCAAAAGUUUUGUAUUCCGAUUCUGGAUGCUUUUGCACGAUAAUUUAGCAAAAUAAUGAUAUUGGUGAAUUAUGUUAAGCAUUGUAGCUUGUAGUUUCUUAUUUUAGAAUUUUACACCGGCAUAGCGCGAUUGCAUGAUUCGUAACUGUUGGAAGAUUAUAAAAUCGCAUUUGAUUUAUUCUUAACUUCGUUGCAUUGUUACUAGAUUUCUGACUCAUAAAAUUUUACUAAUAGUAUUUCUGAUAGUAUGCAAAGAGUCCUAGUGGUUCCUUUCCACGUAAGAAUCGUUAAUGUACUUCGUGAAUAUUGAAUAAUCGUAUAUAUGUAGUUUAUGAAUCUGGUCGAAUCAAUCGUGUCAUCCAAGAUGACAUAGCCUCAUGAUUAACUUGAUCAUAGAGAAUGUUUGGAAAUCGAUUUUCGGAUCGCUGGAUUACAAAUGAAACAUCACGAUAACAUAGCGUUGGUCAUCAGUAGGUUAAAUUUGGAUGGUCGAUAAUUCUCGUAGCGUGGAAGGAGGAAGCGACAUUGUAUGAUUAUACAAACAGAUAGUAACAGUUUGAAUGGGGAACAAAAUCAAAAGCUGGGAAUCUGAAUUUCCCUAAUUAAGAAGCCCCCGAGAGUUUCAAUUAACCGAUCCCUUUUUAAUAUUGCAUGAGCGUUUCGCGAGGAAAACGUGACGUUUGCAUACACACGAGGGCUCGAAAUUUCAGCCACGUUUCUCACGAGAGCCCUCUCUCCCUUUUUCCUUUUCCUUUUUUUUUACGCCAGUAUAUUUACGCGAGUUCAAGGCACUUGGAAAUCGCGUCGCGCGUCGCGUCUGACCGCUGCUAAGGAGUUUCCACUGAAAUUCUCGUCCCACUGGCGUCGAUGGUGGUCGGGAAUGUUGGGAAAGAGGACGUUACGAUGGAGGAGCCGCAAUUUCUUCGGUGCCCGAUUGAAAUCCGCGCGCGAAUUUUUUUGCCAGUUCGCCGCCAGCAACGUUCGUUGUUUGUAAAGAAGUUUCUGUACUUACGGAGAAUAAUUCCGAUCGAAUCAGUCCAAUACUUUUCCAAGAGAUUCUCGGUUCUUUUUAAGAUUCCGCACGAGAUUUCCAUCUUCGUCGAUGAUUCCAAAGCUUUGUAUUCGACGAUUAUCAGGGUUAAACGAAGUUCCUGGAAUUAAACAGUUUUGAUAAGGUUGUUCGUCGUAGCGUUGAUCGAGGUGAUAGUUAAUUAAAAUUCGAUGAAACACUUAGACGCUCAACUAUCGUUUCAUUAUCGUUGUUAGAUAAACUCUGAACGUGUGAUUGCACAUGAUUGCAGGUUGCAAAUCGAUAAAGUCUUUGGAGACGACGUUACACUCUUUGAGAUUAUCAAAGAGUUAUUAAGGCUUGCAAUCUAAUAAGUUUCAUCCUUUUAACAUUCGUCCGAUAUCUAACGAAAGCUAAGAACAGUUUUUGAUUUAUAAAGUAAAUAUCACACAGAAUAUUCGAAAGCAUCGAAUGACGAAGCUAGAACACCAGCGAAGAAUCUCGACGGACCGCUAUUUCGUUCGCGAGCAUACGUGAACUCCAAGCUUCGUUUUAUAUUUUAAUUAAUUAAUUCGCUCGUUUGGUCUAGAUCGUUUCACGAAUAUCGAGAUAAUUAUUUAUGAGUUUACAGACGAGCGAGCGCGGCGCACUUUUGGCUACGACUCACACGUAAGCCGACGCUUUUAAUCGCGUGUAUGUAUAUGAGACACGAUAGCGUAAUACAACAGCGUUAUGCAUCUUUCGCAGCGCUCUGAUUAGUACACUGAAACCGCGGCCACCUUGCCGGCACGCUAAUUACUUUGUAUCAGCUUAAACUUCCUCGGUUUUCAGUGUAGUUACGUCUCAUUGUAGCUUUUAUUUGCCUUUUAUGGGCCAAUAAAGCAUCCGAGCGCCGCCCCCGCUAACAAGUCUCGUAAUUAGGAAAUACAUACGCUUUACACACGAUUCUCCUGCUAUGCUGAUGGUCUAAUUAAGCCAGACAUCGUGACUAUAUUAAAAAACAAACAUCGAUGAACAUCGAUCGAGCCGAGAUCCCAGACCGUGAAUCGGCUGACGUGCACGCUUGACUUUGUUGCGAUGCAAUUCGCAAGUCAUACGAAUGUAGAUGAAUUUGUGAAUAUAAAAGGCGAGAUUGCGGAUUGUCGAAUACGUUGAUCUCGUUUGGAACUUUCGAGUUGACGUCUGAUGAAACGUGAAAAAUUAAAAAAAAAACGAUAUUCUCAAUGGUGUAGUACCUGCAAGCACACGAUCUUGCUAUUAUAAGACUGCAUGUGCAUAAGCACGCUAUGACGGUAAAUUCGAUAGUUUUUUUCUUCUAAUUGUCGAAUUGCAUGUUUGUGCAUCGGAUCGUUAAGGCUGUAAAUUCGUUUGCAUUGAAUCUAGCAGUGAUAUUACGUUGGAAAGAGGCCACGCCACACUUAUGUAUGUUUGCAUAAGCGAUCAGAGAUAAAGCAGCGACCGAUCAAAGGAAUGAUUUUCGUUUAGUUUAUCUGCUUUUAUUGAUAUCGUGUACUUUCGAUUUCUAAGAAAAUGUGACGUACGUAGAAUAUGAAAUAUCACUUUAACUUCAUAUACGAGGAUAUUUUCCUUCACAGAGAAAGAAGUUAUCUCCACGUAUAUGAAGUCAUAGAAGGUUGUGUAAAUGUAAUUUUUGAAAGUGAAAUCACGUAGCCAGGCAAAGCGAACUUCAAGGACUAGAAUUAACCAAGAAUAUUACAAUCUAUGCCAGCGAUUCAUUUGCGAUCAAUUCUCCGUUGCUCCUUUGUUUCCAGAUCUCCUCUCGCUUUCUUCACGCGUCUGUUUCUAUUUUUCCCUACCGCGAUAACGAAACGUCAGAAAGCAAGAGGGACAUGGCGAGAGACAAUUAUCGAAGUCGCAUUGAUAUCGGGGAAAACGAAGAGGACGAUAGUGAAGUGAAGAUAAUAGAAAUUCAGAAGCGUUGCAAGCGGUGCAAAGAAGUAGGUUCUAGGACUUCGCUCCGAUUAGGUUAUGAUAGGGUCUAUAAAAACACUGGGCUAAAAUAUUCUUUUGAUCAACGACCGGCUCGUUGUAUCGUAAGAUCGCUGUUCUCUAUCUGCUAAUUGCAUAAUUCAUUAUAUAAAAAGCAACCAUUUCCAAACAGGUA